UACGGAGGGGGCUAGCGUUGUUCGGAUUUACUGGGCGUAAAGGGCGCGUAGGCGGCGUGACAAGUCACUUGUGAAAUCUCCGGGCUUAACUCGGAACGGUCAAGUGAUACUGUCGUGCUAGAGUACAGAAGGGGCAACUGGAAUUCUCGGUGUAGCGGUGAAAUGCGUAGAUAUCGAGAGGAACACCAGUGGCGAAGGCGAGUCUCUGGACGACUCCUGACACUGAGGCACGAAAGCUAGGGGAGCAAACGGG
rnacentral:rRNA from 1 species